AAAAACACCAAGACAUCUUCAGCUAGCAGCACUGCAGCCUCGAAAAGCAGUCAACAUUUAGCUUACCUCAAACAGUGUAAAAUCAACACGUCUACUAAAUAAGAAUGCGAGUUCUUGUACUGCUGGCUAUAAUUUGUAUUCUAAAUGUCUGUGUGGCUCAAUCAGAGCAGUUGACGUAAGUACACAUUUUUGAUGCAAUACUUUUUUUUUUUUUCGAAAGUUAGUUCGUUGUAUUUCCCAUCUUAGAAAGCUUCUAUCAACUCACUCUGUCUGUCUGUCAGUCUGUCUGGUAAAACGUUUGCACACGUUAUUUCUCCCA
rnacentral:sRNA from 1 species